rnacentral:rRNA from 1 species
UACGUAGGGGGCAAGCGUUGUCCGGAAUCAUUGGGCGUAAAGCGCGUGUAGGCGGUCCGGUAAGUCCGCUGUGAAAGUCGGGGGCUUAACCCUCGGAUGCCGGUGGAUACUGUCGGGCUUGAGUACGGAAGAGGCGAGUGGAAUUCCUGGUGUAGCGGUGAAAUGCGCAGAUAUCAGGAGGAACACCAAUUGCGAAGGCAGCUCGCUGGGACGUUACUGACGCUGAGGAGCGAAAGCGUGGGUAGCAAACAGG